GACGGAGGAUGCAAGCGUUAUCCGGAAUUAUUAGGCGUAAAGCGUCCGCAGGUGGACAUACAAGUCUGCUGUCAAAGUGCAGAGCUUAACUCUGUAAAGGCGGUGGAAACUGUAGGUCUUGAGUAUGGUAGGGGUAGAGGGAAUUCCCGGUGUAGCGGUGAAAUGCGUAGAUAUCGGGAAGAACACCAGUGGCGAAAGCGCUCUACUGGGCCAUAACUGACACUGAGGGACGAAAGCUAGGGGAGCGAAAGGG
rnacentral:rRNA from 1 species